GCGACCCCAGGUCAGGCGGGACUACCCGCUGAAUUUAAGCAUAUAAAUAGCGGAGGAGAAGAAACUUACAAG
rnacentral:rRNA from 1 species